rnacentral:sRNA from 1 species
UUUUCUAAUGUUAUAGAAUUGUAUGAUUGAGAAUUGGAUGUUUUUUCCUGAAUUUAGAAUUGGUCGGACGAAGAGUGUUGAUAUUUUCUUCAACUUUGUACUGCUGAGGAAAAAGGGAAUAGAAGAAAGACGAGAUUAAAUAUAACUGGAAAAGAGUCCAUCAUGAGAUAGUUUGAAGAAAAAUUUGGGAAGAGAUAUUCAUGGGAUAAACAAUUCAAGAACAAGUAUGAUGUGCGUAGAAGAACAUACACAAAGGUUAAAAACUUGCUUCAUAACAGAACUGAAAUUACAUAUGAUUCUGUGUAAAGAAUAAAUAU